AACGAACGCUGGCGGCAUGCCUAACACAUGCAAGUCGAACGAGACCUUCUGGUCUAGUGGCGCACGGGUGCGUAACGCGUGGGAACCUGCCCUUAGGUUCGGAAUAACUCCCCGAAAGGGGUUCUAAUACCGGAUAAUGUCUUCGGACCAAAGAUUUAUCGCCUUUGGAUGGGCCCGCGUUGGAUUAGCUAGUUGGUAGGGUAAAAGCCUACCAAGGCGACGAUCCAUAGCUGGUCUGAGAGGAUGAUCAGCCACACUGGGACUGAGACACGGCCCAGACUCCUACGGGAGGCAGCAGUGGGGAAUAUUGGACAAUGGGCGAAAGCCUGAUCCAGCAAUGCCGCGUGAGUGAUGAAGGCCUUAGGGUUGUAAAGCUCUUUUACCCGGGAUGAUAAUGACAGUACCGGGAGAAUAAGCCCCGGCUAACUCCGUG
rnacentral:rRNA from 1 species